GAUGAACGCUGGCGGCGUGCCUAAUACAUGCAAGUCGAGCGAACGGACGAGAAGCUUGCUUCUCUGAUGUUAGCGGCGGACGGGUGAGUAACACGUGGAUAACCUACCUAUAAGACUGGGAUAACUUCGGGAAACCGGAGCUAAUACCGGAUAAUAUUUUGAACCGCAUGGUUCAAAAGUGAAAGACGGUCUUGCUGUCACUUAUAGAUGGAUCCGCGCUGCAUUAGCUAGUUGGUAAGGUAACGGCUUACCAAGGCAACGAUGCAUAGCCGACCUGAGAGGAUGAUAAGCCAAAGUGGAAAUGAGACACGGUGCAGACUCAGACGGGAGGCAGAAGUGGGGAAUAGUGGAGAAUGGGUGAAAUCCUGAUCAAUCUAUACCGCGUGGGUGAAGAAGGCCUUAGGGUUGUAAAGCCUUUUGGGUGGGAAAGAAAAGAAGCAGGGGAAUAACCCGCUGUUCGGAAGGUACACAAAGAAUAAGCAAAGGCGAACUUCGUG
rnacentral:rRNA from 1 species